UGAAGUAUAGCUCGGUGGUAGAGCACUUGUCUAGCAUAUACGAGGUCCUAGGUUUGAUUCCAAGCACUACAA
rnacentral:tRNA from 1 species